CCUACGGGGGGCAGCAGUGAGGAAUAUUGGUCAAUGGGGGCGACCCUGAACCAGCCAUGCCGCGUGAAGGUCAGUGCCCUAUGGGCGUUAAACUUCUUUUGUGCGGGAGCAAUACUGGUCACGUGUGGCCAGACGACAGUACCGUCCGCAUACGCAUCGGCUAACUCCGUGCCAGCAGCCGCGGUAAUACGGGGGAUGCAAGCGUUAUCCGGAUUUAUUGGGUUUAAAGGGUGCGUAGGCUGUGCGGUAAGUCAGCGGUGAAAUGCCCCCGCUCAACGGGGUGAAGUGCCAUUGAUACUGCCUGGCUGGAAUGCGGAUGCCGUGGGAGGAAUGUGUGGUGUAGCGGUGAAAUGCAUAGAUAUCACACAGAACACCGAUUGCGAAGGCAUCUCACGAAACCGCGAUUGACGCUGAGGCACGAAAGCGUGGGUAUCAAACAGGAUUAGAUACCCGAGUAGUC
rnacentral:rRNA from 1 species